CCUACGGGAGGCAGCAGUGAGGAAUAUUGGUCAAUGGACGAGAGUCUGAACCAGCCAAGUAGCGUGAAGGAUGACGGCCCUAUGGGUUGUAAACUUCUUUUAUAUGGGAAUAAAAUGUUCCACGUGUGGGAUUUUGUAUGUACCAUAUGAAUAAGGAUCGGCUAACUCCGUGCCAGCAGCCGCGGUAAUACGGAGGAUCCGAGCGUUAUCCGGAUUUAUUGGGUUUAAAGGGAGCGUAGGUGGAUUGUUAAGUCAGUUGUGAAAGUUUGGGGCUCAACCGUAAAAUUGCAGUUGAAACUGGCAGUCUUGAGUACAGGAGAGGUAGGCGGAAUGCGUGGUGUAGCGGUGAAAUGCUUAGAUAUCACGAAGAACUCCGAUUGCGAAGGCAGUUCACUGGACUGCAACUGACACUGAGGCUCGAAAGUGUGGGUAUCAAACAGGAUUAGAUACCCGGGUAGUC
rnacentral:rRNA from 1 species